UGAAAGAGUGAUUUUUUAGAUUUUUUUCAUGUUAAGGAUGUAAUAUCCAAUUUGUACCCGGCCCGUACCAGGUAAACAAAUAAAUGAAAACAGUCCGAUUACAAACGGGCUACAAGGCCCAAACCAAAACAAAGCAGUGGCCCAAAUUACAAUGGCCCAAAACAGAGGGAAAACCCUAGGGUUUCUAAGCUUCGGCCGCCGCAACUCCAAAUCUCCCACGAAGGCUGAAUCUCCAUGGAUCUUCACCUACGCAUCUAGGGAAAACAAAAAUGGAAAGCUAAUUAAAGAUUUGAAAAUCAAAAAAAGAAACAGAUUUGUUUCUUCUUUAGAUUUUUUCCAUUCGGCUAUAAAAAUAGCCAUUGUAACACUGUAAAGAGGAUCCGAAUUCGAAAUCAAUAAAAACAACCAUUUCCACAAUCGAAAACAGCAAAUACCAAGAGCAAUACAAUCGAUUCAAAGGUUGAUAUUUGUCGUUUUUGUAUAUAUAUAUAUUUUAUUUACUUUUAUACAAAUAAAAAGACAAAUAAAAAGGAAAGAGGUAACCUUUUGAAGGUGCCUAGAUCGUCGUGAAACGGUCGAGGUUGCCACCCGAGGAUCGGUGGCUGGAAACCGAAAGGUUUCGUGAUUUUUCGAGGUUUUUGCUGAUAUUUUUAAAGGAUUUGAACCCAGAUUUGGGUAUAAGGGGGCUUGAAAGGCCGAAUAGGAGAUUUUUCCCUUUUUCGGCCACCGCAUACGGCGGCGCCGUCGUCGGAGAUCAGCGGCCGGCACGGUGGUCGAUGACCGGCCGAUGACCGAACCAGAGGCCGGUGUUCGAAGGUUGAGAGCUUUUUCGGAGGGAUUUUCUGUUUUUUUUUUUUU
rnacentral:lncRNA from 1 species